rnacentral:rRNA from 1 species
GAUAACGGCGCGGCAGGAGCGGCGGGAAUACGGAGGGACCGCGCGUUGUCCUGAAGCAAUGGGCGUAAAGAGCGUGUAGGCGGCCCCGUAAGUCCGGCGUGAAAGCCUGCGGCUCAAACGCAGACGGUCGUGGGAAACUGGAGGGCGAGAGUGCGUGAGAGGAGAGUGGAAGUCCCAGUGUAGCGGUGAAAUGCGCAGAUAUUGGGAAGAACACCCGUGGCGAAGGCGGCUCUCUGGAACGCAACUGACGCUGAGACGCGAAAGCGUGGGGAGCAAACAGGAUUAGAUACCCUAGUAGUC